rnacentral:rRNA from 1 species
AUAACAAUGCAGGACUUUUAAAGUCUUGUAAUUGGAAUGAGAACAAUUUAAAUACCUUAACGAGGAACAAUUGGAGGGCAAGUCUGGUGCCAGCAGCCGCGGUAAUUCCAGCUCCAAUAGCGUAUAUUCAAGUUGUUGCAGUUAAAAAGCUCGUAGUUGAAUUUUGGAUUUGGUCGAGCGGUUUAGCCUCACGGUUAACACUUGCUCUGACUGGAUCUUUUUUAAACCUUCUGGGGAACUAGUAUGCUCUUUACUGGGUGUGCUAGGGAUCCAGGACUGUUACUUUGAAAAAAUUAGAGUGUUCAAAACAGGCUUACGCUUGAAUACAUUAGCAUGGAAUAACGGAAUAGGACUUUGUUUCUAUUUUGUUGGUUUGAGAAAUGAAGUAAUGAUUAAUAGGGACAGUUGGGGGCAUUAGUAUUCGGCAGUCAGAGGUGAAAUUCUUGGAUUUGCUGAAGACUAACUACUGCGAAAGCAUUUGCCAAGGAUGUUUUCAUUAAUCAAGAACGAAAGUUAGGGGAUCGAAGACGAUCAGAUACCGUCGUAGUCUUAACCAUAAACUAUGCCGACUAGGGAUCGGACAAUGUUAUUUUAUUGACUUGUUCGGCACCUUAUGAGAAAUCAAAGUUUUUGGGUUCCGGGGGGAGUAUGGUCGCAAGGCUGAAACUUAAAGGAAUUGACGGAAGGGCACCACCAGGAGUGGAGCCUGCGGCUUAAUUUGACUCAACACGGGGAAACUCACCAGGUCCAGACAUAAGAAGGAUUGACAGAUUGAGAGCUCUUUCUUGAUUCUAUGGGUGGUGGUGCAUGGCCGUUCUUAGUUGGUGGAGUGAUUUGUCUGGUUAAUUCC